UACGAAGGGGGCUAGCGUUGCUCGGAAUUACUGGGCGUAAAGGGCGCGUAGGCGGAUACUUAAGUUAGAGGUGAAAGCCCAGGGCUCAACCCUGGAAUAGCCUUUAAUACUGGGUAUCUUGAGUUCGGGAGAGGUGAGUGGAACUCCGAGUGUAGAGGUGAAAUUCGUAGAUAUUCGGAAGAACACCAGUGGCGAAGGCGACUCACUGGCCCGAUACUGACGCUGAGGCGCGAAAAGCGUGGGGAGCAAACAGGG
rnacentral:rRNA from 1 species